GGAUUUGCAACGUUUCGACCUGUACCCAGGUCUUUAUCAAACUUGAUAAAAACCUGGGUACAGGUUGAAACGUUGCAGAUCC